GGCGGCAGGCCUAACACAUGCAAGUCGAGCGCUACCUUCGGGUGGAGCGGCGGACGGGUUAGUAACGCGUGGGAACGUACCCAGAUCUAAGGAAUAGCCACUGGAAACGGUGAGUAAUACCUUAUACGCCCUUCGGGGGAAAGAUUUAUCGGAUUUGGAUCGGCCCGCGUUAGAUUAGAUAGUUGGUGGGGUAAUGGCCUACCAAGUCUACGAUCUAUAGCUGGUUUUAGAGGAUGAUCAGCAACACUGGGACUGAGACACGGCCCAGACUCCUACGGGAGGCAGCAGUGGGGAAUCUUGGACAAUGGGCGCAAGCCUGAUCCAGCCAUGCCGCGUGAGUGAUGAAGGCCUUAGGGUCGUAAAGCUCUUUCGCCAGAGAUGAUAAUGACAGUAUCUGGUAAAGAAACCCCGGCUAACUCCGUGCCAGCAGCCGCGGUAAUACGGAGGGGGUUAGCGUUGUUCGGAAUUACUGGGCGUAAAGCGUACGUAGGCGGAUUAGUCAGUCAGAGGUGAAAUCCCAGGGCUCAACCCUGGAACUGCCUUUGAUACUGCUAGUCUUGAGUUCGAGAGAGGUGAGUGGAAUUCCAAGUGUAGAGGUGAAAUUCGUAGAUAUUUGGAGGAACACCAGUGGCGAAGGCGGCUCACUGGCUCGAUACUGACGCUGAGGUACGAAAGUGUGGGGAGCAAACAGGAUUAGAUACCCUGGUAGUCCACACCGUAAACGAUGAAUGCCAGUCGUCGGGCAGUAUACUGUUCGGUGACACACCUAACGGAUUAAGCAUCCG
rnacentral:rRNA from 1 species